rnacentral:tRNA from 1 species
AGGGAUAUAGCUCAGUGAUUCAGCACCUGCCUGGCAAGUGUGAGGUCCUGAGUUCAAUUCCCAGUAUCCCCC